GAUGAACGCUGGCGGCGUGCCUAAUACAUGCCAGUCGAGCGAACAGACUAGGAGCUUGCUCCUCAGACGUUAGCGGCGGACGGGUGAGUAACACGUGGAUAACCCACCUAUAAGACUGGGAUAACUUCGGGAAACCGGAGCUAAUACCGGAUAAUAUAUUGAACCGCAUGGUUCAAUAGUGAAAGACGGUUUUGCUGUCACUUAUAGAUGGAUCCGCGCCGCAUUAGCUAGUUGGUAAGGUAACGGCUUACCAAGGCAACGAUGCGUAGCCGCCCUGCGCGGGUGAUGGGCCAAACUGCACCUGAGACACGGUCCAGACUCCGAGGGGAGGCAGCGGUAGGGAAUCUUGCGCAAUGGGCGAAGGCCUGACGGAGCAGCGCCGCGUGAGUGAUGAUGGUCUUCGGCUCGUAAAACUCUGUUAUUGGGGAAGAACAAAUGUGUAAGUAACUGUGCACGUCUUGACGGUACCUAAUCAGAAAGCCACGGCUAACUACGUG
rnacentral:rRNA from 1 species